GGCUCAGCUGUCUGUAUCACUCUUUUACACUCUGUCCUAGAAGAAGGAGGAGGAGGGGGACGAGGGGUGUAAAAUCUGCACUUCUUUCUCUGCCUAAUUCCACAAGUCAUUUUAACCCCUUCAUUAUUGGUUACCCUCCUUAAGUUAUCCAAGAACAAAGCUACUUCUGUCAAAGUGCUUUUUUCUCUAGCUAACACAAUUGCAGUUGGAUCUAGAUCUUGAAAUUUUUUCACAAAUUCAUUAAUUAACUGAUCUUCAGAAAAAUCUGCAACAAGUCUAUAUGAACUUUCAAAUUUUACAAGAAAACUAAA